CUAAUUUGCUCCUAUGUCUUAUGGUCUAAUUUGGACGGUUGCAAGGAAGGAGUAAGAGAAUAUGAGAUUAUUCUGCAGAGAGCUGCUGUAGAUUUGAUGUAAUGACCUCCUCGAGUGUCAUGAAUCAUACAGUCCGAUCCUUAUUGAAGCGAAGCUCAUCUGUCGUUGCAGCCCAGCGACCAAUCCACUGUAUAAACUCCUCGGUCCUUCUGUUUUGAUCAUGGGGGAAGGUGAUGAGAUCGGCGAUGCAGGCUGCUGUACCAGCACUCAGGAACUGCACCCCAGGAGUUGGAGGAACGAUGGACGGUUUAAGCCCCACCAUCCUGACUGCAAAACUUUGCAAAGUCCGAC